rnacentral:tRNA from 4 species
CGGGGUGUAGCGCAGUUGGCUAGCGCGCCACGUUCGGGACGUGGAGGCCGGAGGUUCGAGUCCUCUCACCCCGA